rnacentral:rRNA from 1 species
AUUGAACGCUGGCGGCAGGCCUAACACAUGCAAGUCGAGCGGAUGACGGGAGCUUGCUCCUUGAUUCAGCGGCGGACGGGUGAGUAAUGCCUAGGAAUCUGCCUGGUAGUGGGGGACAACGUUUCGAAAGGAACGCUAAUACCGCAUACGUCCUACGAGAGAAAGCAGGGGACCUUCGGGCCUUGCGCUAUCAGAUGAGCCUAGGUCGGAUUAGCUAGUUGGUGGGGUAAUGGCUCACCAAGGCGACGAUCCGUAACUGGACUGAGAGGAUGAUCAGUCACACUGGAACUGAGACACGGUCCAGACUCCUACGGGAGGCAGCAGUGGGGAAUAUUGGACAAUGGGCGAAAGCCUGAUCCAGCCAUGCCGCGUGUGUGAAGAAGGUCUUCGGAUUGUAAAGCACUUUAAGUUGGGAGGAAGGGCAGUAAGCUAAUACCUUGCUGUUUUGACGUUACCGACAGAAUAAGCACCGGCUAACUCUGUGCCAGCAGCCGCCGUAA